rnacentral:lncRNA from 1 species
CUCACGCAUAGAGUGGAUAGGAAUGAGUUGGUUGGCAUUUGAAUUCAAAUUCGAUUUGAAUUCAAAUGACCAACCACUUAUCUUUAUCCUCUCACGUGGUAAAAAUGCUGCAAAGAUGUGGUCUUGCAUCAUUUUAAAAAGGAGAUAAGAGAGAGUGUGAGAACUGAUGAUCAGAGAAAAAAGGGUGGUGUGAGAGAGGUUUCUGGCAUGAGAAAAGA